rnacentral:other from 1 species
UGUUCCCUGCGGUGUUCGAGUUGUCCAUAUACUCUUUGAACCAAUGCUAACUAGCGAGGUUGCCGAGCCAUUGGCGAGCUGGUGUGCGCUCCCACGCGGAAGCGCCUGAAGGCUCCGGCAGGCGACCCUCUUGAACCUCCGGUUCAGGAUGAGGGCAAUACGGCACAGGCGGGGAACAC